rnacentral:lncRNA from 1 species
CUGAGAUACAUGGAAAUGGCCACCUGCUCAGAAAGAAGUCCUUCUCACUAGGCUUGAAAUGCCCAUCGGUCCUUUGGUCAUCCAGUUCUAACAUCAUGACACCAGAAGUUCCGUAUUGUACCAGUCAGGUACUCAAAUCCAAAGGGACUGACUAAAUGUAUUUGGAGGAAAUGGUAGGAAGCUUCAAGUCUUCCUUUCCCCAAAGACACCGAGUUAACACGGACCAGAACACCUCUGUGAGAACUCUAGAGACAUGUCGAGAAGCUACAGCAUGCCAUAUCAUUGUAAAACCCAAAAAGGAUUCUAAACAAAAAAGGAGGGAAAAUCUGCAGUAUUUGGCAAAGCCAUCCUGACUUUUCUUCUUUGUGGCAUAGUGCUAAGCAACUGGGAAAAAACCCUUACCCCAGGGCUCCAUCAUCCAGGAUGGAAACAAAAGAUUGGACCAUGGAUUCAGUGCUCUGGUUUAUCUGAUGGCCACCCAAGGGGCUAGCUGCUUUAUCACCUGACUGGGACAACAGCUAAGGAUACCAGGGGAAGAAUCUGGAAACAAAGGUGGAGCCUCCGAUUAGAGCUGCGGUUCCACAAGCAGACACCAGAGGGAACAAAAGAACAGGAAAGAUGGGAGCCAUCCUUGCUCCACUAGUACUGCUGUGAAGGUCUUCCCCUACAAGGAGCCAGACUGUGGAAGAGGUCCAACAGCAGACUGACCAGGAAGAAGAAAUAAUUGGCAGAAUUGAAGGCAGGUUAUUUGAAGUAAUCAAGUCAGAGGCACAAUACUCUGCCACCACCAGCACGGCCACACACGACCUGGACCACACACCCACUGGCACCUGACGAUGACUCGGGCUCUGCCACCAUGGAGGACAUGACCAAGUACAGCAACAGAGGAAUUCGCCCAGGGAUCCAGGAUCAUUGCAAGGAUUGAACUCAGGACCUUGCACUUGUGAGGCAGGUGCAGCACCACUGAGCUAAAU